rnacentral:rRNA from 1 species
UACGUAGGGUGCGAGCGUUAAUCGGAAUUACUGGGCGUAAAGUGUGCGCAGGCGGCGUUGCAAGUCGAGCGUGAAAUCCCCGAGCUUAACUUGGGAAUUGCGCUCGAAACUACGAUGCUCGAGUGUGGCAGAGGAAGGUGGAAUUCCACGUGUAGCGGUGAAAUGCGUAGAGAUGUGGAGGAACACCGAUGGCGAAGGCAGCCUUCUGGGCCAACACUGACGCUCAUGCACGAAAGCGUGGGGAGCAAACAGGA